UGUUGAGGACUCAAGGCUGGGGACUGUGACAGCCUUUUCAUCUCGCAAACAUGGCCCAGCUGCAGUGACAGACCCUCCAGUGACAUCCCACUGCCUGGCUUGAGCUCCCACAGGAGGAGCUCCCACACUUCCCCUUAAGCAUCCUAAAACCAAGGAAAGGAGCCCUUCGGCGACAAAGAACGAAGAGGAACUUUGCACUAAAAAUCACUUGGUUGGCUCAACGUCUUUCUCAACAACAGCCAGUAGGUCGGUUGACUUGUACUUCCCGAUGAUCUGAACAGAACUGAAAGAUGAAAGGCCAGGUGGCCAUCUGAUCACCAGGUACGCUUCUCUCUGACAAGCUCACGGUUCCCUCCCGUCUGAUUUAUUAUGCUCCUUGGCUUUGCGGCAACAUUUCACAAACUCAUCGAUACAGAAAUUCCCGAGACACUCAUGUUCAUGGCCAAACCAGGGAACUGGUGAUGGGUUGACCCACACCAGCUCCGGGGUCUUGCUCACUUCCCAUAGAAGAUACCAACCAUGGGGUAGCCUCAUCUUAUCAGCAAUCCGAGGGGACCACGGUGCAGUCAACAGCAAGAUGGUGGAGUCCUGGCUGUCCCUGUGUCAGGUUGACCUCCUAAGAGCUUCCAGGGGAGAUGGCUUUGAAAUCCUUGAAUGAGUUCAUGCUCUUUUCUUGAAAUACACUGAAUUCUGGCAACUUCCUAGAGUGCAGUGUCCCUGCCUUAUGCUGGUUUCCCUUGUGGCCCCAUGGGCCCCUUGCACGGAUUUGAGUAUCCUGGGUGUUGAGUUCAUUGUUGCAUCUUGGCUCGACAUCCUAGACCAGGAGCCAAGGAGAAAGGUCUUUGGAUACUUCUUGCUGAGUCCUGUUUCUCAUCCCCGGUACACAAAGAUGCACAGGAGUGUGCAAGCACAAGACUCUAGUUGGCUCGUCCUGGGUCAUUCAUUCAGCAUUUACGAACCCACCCACAGAACACGCUGAACCCAGGCGGCAG